GGAGCAGUUGUGUGUUUUUGUGAAAUCUCUCUCUAUCCAGUAUCUGCUGUGAUAGACCCAGGCCAGUUGGGAACAGCAGAGUAGUAGAAGGGAGAUAAACCUGCCACUGGAUAAGUAGUUUUCUGUUCCCUGAGUGACCAGAGCAGGGGCUGCUCCAGGCUAAUGAGAACACCUGACUCCAAUUAACCUGCUAAGAGUCAGGUGAGGCUGUUAAGCAUGUGACUCUAAUUAAGCAGUAGGUGUUUGGAAUCCCUCAUCUGUACUCUUCAGUUUUGCUCAGAGGCUGUGAAUUUCCUCGUUGAACACGGUGCUCUGUGGGUUUAGUACCAAGGGAAAAGAAGUGGAGGGUCAGAGUCUGCUCCCCUCAUGCGAUGGAAAGCAAGUAAGAGCGGGGAGACAGCGAACAUUACUGAUGCCAGGCAAGAGCCGUCCAGCUUGGAGCCGAGCAGCCGUCACCGUCAGUGAGAUAAGUGUCUUGUUAGAUGAGGGCUCUGCUCACUUCCCACUUGGCUUCAGCUGCGCUGGUACAGGAAUUGUCCAGGAACCCUACCCGGAGGAGAGACUCUCAGAAGUGAACCUGAUCUGCCUGAACAUCCUUCUAAGCAGACAUGAACAGUCCUCAGCUUUCUGCCUCCUGCAUAAAUGGCUGUGAGUAAGCAGGAAAAGUCAUGUGCCAGUCUACUGCCCUCAUGCGAUGGA